AUUUGGAUUAGGAUUUGGCUAGGGUUUGGAUUAGGGUUUGGAUUAGGGUUUAGGAUUUGGUUAGGAUUUGAUUUAGGAUUUGGAUUAGGAUUUGGUUAAGAUUUGAUUUAAGAUUUGGUUUAGGGUUUAGAAUUAGAUUAGGGUUUGAUUUAGGGUUUGGUUUAGGGUUUAGGGUUUGGAAUAGGGUUUAAUUUAAGAUUUAUUUAGGAUUUGACUUAGGAUUUAGGAAUUAUUAGGAUUUAAGAUUUAAUUAGGUUUGGUCUAAAGUUGAGUGAAAUUCAAUAGGGUUUUAACUAGAAUUAAAUUAAGGUUGAAUUGACAUAUAUUUGAGUAAAAUUUGUGAUCAUUCUAAUAUUUCUUUAAGAGCUUUAUUGUUUGUUUGAAAUUUCUUUGAGUUUUUUUGAAUUGGAUUACGUUUGUUUACCAUUAUUAUAGUCUAAUUAGAGCAUUGUUAGUAUUCUAUUUAGGAUU
rnacentral:lncRNA from 1 species